UAGAGNGAUCGAAAGAUGANAAGCACUUUGGAAAGAGAGUUAAAUAGUACGUGAAAUUGUUGAAAGGGAAGCGCUUGCGACCAGACCUGCGCGUAGGUGAUUAGUUAGUAUCCUCUAAGUUACUAGUGCACUCACCUAUAGCCAGGCCAGCAUCGGUUUCGGCGGCGGGACAAAAGCGUGGAGAAUGUAACUCUCUCUUUGGGGGAGUACUUAUAGCUCGUCAUGAAAUGCCGCCAGCUGAGACCGAGGACCGCGCUUCUUAGCUAGGAUGCUGGCAUAAUGGUUGCAAGCGACCCGUCUUGAAACACGGACCAAGGAGUCUAACAUCUAUGCGAGUGUUUGGGUGUCAAACCCAGGCGCGGAAUGAAAGUGAACGGAGGUGGGAACCCUUAAAAGGGGCUGCACCAUCGACCGAUCCGGAUGUCUUCGGAUGGAUUUGAGUAUGAGCAUAGCUGUUGGGACCCGAAAGAUGGUGAACUAUGCCUGAACAGGGUGAAGCCAGAGGAAACUCUGGUGGAAGCUCGCAGCGGUUCUGACGUGCAANUCGAUCGUCAAAUUUGGGCAUAGGGGCGAAAGACUAAUCGAACCAUCUAGUAGCUGGUUCCUGCCGAAGUUUCCCUCAGGAUAGCAGUAACGAUUCUCAGUUUU
rnacentral:rRNA from 1 species